rnacentral:rRNA from 1 species
AUUGAACGCUGGCGGCAGGCUUAACACAUGCCAGUCGAGCGAGCGGCGGACGGGUGAGUAAUGUCUGGGAAACUGCCUGAUGGAGGGGGAUAACUACUGGAAACGGUAGCUAAUACCGCAUACCCUCAGAUAUGCCCAGAUGGGAUUAGCUAGUAGGUGGGGUAAUGGCUCACCUAGGCGACGAUCCCUAGCUGGUCUGAGAGGAUGACCAGCCACACUGGAACUGAGACACGGUCCAGACUCCUACGGGAGGCAGCAGUGGGGAAUAUUGCACAAUGGGCGCAAGCCUGAUGCAGCCAUGCCGCGUGUGUGAAGAAGGCCUUCGGGUUGUAAAGCACUUUCAGCGAGGAGGCGUUACUCGCAGAAGAAGCACCGGCUAACUCCGUGCCAGCAGCCGCGGUAAUAC